rnacentral:rRNA from 1 species
UACGUAGGGUGCAAGCGUUGUCCGGAAUUAUUGGGCGUAAAGAGCUCGUAGGCGGUUUGUCGCGUCUGCUGUGAAAACGCGAGGCUCAACCUCGCGCCUGCAGUGGGUACGGGCAGACUGGAGUGCGGUAGGGGAGAUUGGAAUUCCUGGUGUAGCGGUGGAAUGCGCAGAUAUCAGGAGGAACACCGGUGGCGAAGGCGGGUCUCUGGGCCGGAACUGACGCUGAGGAGCGAAAGCGUGGGGAGCGAACAGG